rnacentral:rRNA from 1 species
GACGAACGCUGGCGGCGUGCCUAAUACAUGCAAGUCGAGCGGAGCGGCGAACGGGUGAGUAACGCGUGAGUAACUGCCCCCCUCUCUGGGAUAACAGUUGGAACCGGCUGCUAAUACCGGAUAGUGGGGGAUGACUCGCGUCCUAUCAGCUUGUUGGUGGGGUAGAGGCCGACCAAGGCGCAGACGGGUAGCCGGCCUGAGAGGGCGACCGGCCACAUGGGGCUGAGAUACGGGCAAAACUCGGACGGGAGGCAGCAGUGGGGAAUAUUGCACAAUGGGGGAAACCAUGCUGCAGAAAUGCCGCGUGCGGGAUGACGGCCGUCGGGUUGUAAACCGCUUUCAGCCAUGACGCGGUAGUGGCAGAAGAAGCACCGGCUAACUACGUGCCAGCAGCCGCGGUAAUAC